UUCCGGUUGAUCCUGCCGGACCUUACUGCUAUCGGGGUGGGACUAAGACAUGCGAGUCGAGCGUCUCUAGCUAUGUUGAGACGCGGCAGACGGCUCAGUAACACGUGGCUAACCUACCCUCAGGACGAGGAUAAACCCGGGAAACUGGGGCUAAUACUCGAUAGGUGAGAAUGUCUGGAAUGAUUUCUCAUUCAAAGGGCUUUAGAAACAUGCUUCUAAAGUCGCCUGGGGAUGGGGCCGCGUCCGAUCAGGUUGUUGGUGAGGUAACGGCUCACCAAGCCUAUAACCGGUACGGGCCGUGAGAGCGGUAGCCCGGAGAUGGGUACUGAGACAAGGACCCAGGCCCUACGGGGCGCAGCAGUCGCGAAAACUCCGCAAUGCACGAAAGUGUGACGGGGCUACCCCGAGUGCCAUCCGCUGAGGAUGGCUUUUCUUUGGUGUAACUAGCCGGGGGAAUAAGGAGAGGGCAAGACUGGUGUCAGCCGCCGCGGUAAUACCAGCUCUCCGAGUGGUAGGGAUGAUUAUUGGGCUUAAAGCGUCCGUAGCCGGCUUAGCAAGUCUCCUGUUAAAUUCAGCGACCUAAUCGUUGAGCCGCGGGAGAUACUACUAGGCUAGGAGGCGGGGGAGGUCGACGGUACUUCUGGGGUAGGGGUGAAAUCCUAUAAUCCCGGGAGGACCACCAGUGGCGAAAGGCUGUUGACUAGAACGCGCUCGACGGUGAGGGACGAAAGCUGGGGGAGCGAAACCGGGAUCAGAUACCCGGGUAGUCCCAGCCGUAAACGAUGCGGGCUAGUGUUGGGGUGGCUACGUGCCACUUCAGUGCCGCAGGGAAGCCAUUAAGCUCGCCGCCUGGGGAGUACGCGCAAGGCUGAAACUUAAAGGAAUUGGCGGGGGGAGCACACAGGCGUGAGCUUGCGGUCAAUGCAUCCACGCCG
rnacentral:rRNA from 1 species